UAGUUAGAGUUUCAGUAUCAAGGUAAUAAACAGAAGAAUUAGCCUGCUAUGAUGGAUAUUGGUAACGCUCAUGUGAUGUGCUCCUUAUCGCCAACCGCCGUGCUCCUUACUGAAAUUCUUUUAUUACUUUGUGAGUUGAAAGAUCAGAGGCAGGUUCAGAAGCAAGUAAAGAAGCAAGUGAACCAUCAAGCGCUGCGGGAAGGACAGUUGAGUGCUAUUCCUCAAGUUACGAGUAUUGAGUAAGUGUCGCAGUUGGGUUUCAAAGAAGAGUAUAAAGUAGCAGCCCGCGCAAAGUAUAGUUCUGUUCCUGUCAUUUCACUAAACUGGAAUAUGGAGGCAGGUAACCAAAGAGCAUUGGUAGCUGAACUUUCAGUUGACUUUUCUCUGGAAUCCUACUGUAUAGAAUAUGUGCUUGGAAAUGUUGUUUCUGUUCGAGUUAUAUCCCAUAUAAAUAAUUCAAUGGAAGACGGAAUUCGCAAUUAACAACUGUGUCGGUGAAGUAUCAAGGAACCAUAGCGCUAGUCUAGUAGGUCUCGCCCCAAAAGCCUUUUGAACCUAUAGACGUAGUCAUAGGCCUAGGCAGGUCAACGUGGUCGAAGCAACUUUCACAGUCCGUAUAGCUUUAAUCAAGUAAUAAAGACAGUUGUGAAAGUCAAACAUCAAUUCAGAAUUUCCAUUUCACGGAUGCUAUAUAAGAUAGGGAUUGAACAUGCAAACAUCAAUUCAGAAUUUCCAUUUCACAGAUGCUAUAUAAGAUAGGGAUAUGGAUUAGAGAACCUUUCCUUCCGUUAAUAGGGAUAUGGAUUCCUGAACCUUUCCUUCUGUUAGCGCCUAGGAAAACACUGAAUUCAUUGAAAUCUUUAACGGAUGCUCUAUAAUAUAUGAAUUGAUAUCUCGCAACCAGGUAUCUAGGGCUAAAGGAAUCUUCUUUUUAUUAUUUAUAAAGAAAUCAAGAAAGAUAAAAGAUUGAACUCGGCCCUUCCUUACUUAUAUGAAAUCUGUCUGCAUGUCUACUUGUUGGAUGAAACUCGGGGCACAGGGGAAACUCAGUAAGGCAAUAAAGUGAUACGCUCCUUAGCAACUUAAGGAGACUGAUAUUAGACUUCCGACUUCCCUUUCCUCACUAGCAAACUCACACUACUUAUUGUUUGCAAACUCACAUUGCUUUGUAUGACUC
rnacentral:lncRNA from 1 species